rnacentral:rRNA from 1 species
GCAUCGAUGAAGAACGCAGCGAAUUGCGAUACGUAGUAUGACUUGCAGACGUGAAUCAUCGAAUCUUUGAACGCACAUUGCGCCUCGAGGCAUUCCUCGAGGCAUGCCUGUUUGAGCGUCGCAUCCCCUCUAACCCCCGGUUAGGCGUUGCUCCGAAAUAUCAACCGCGCUGUCAAACACGUUUACAGCACGACAUUUCGCCCUCAAAUCAGGUAGGGACUACCCGCUGAACUUAAGCAUAUCAAUAAGCGGAGGA